CCUUCACUGACUAACUUAUUUCACUUGGCAUAAUAUCCUCAAGUUUCAUCCAAGAUGCAACAUAUGUCUGAAUAUUUCCCUCAUGUUUAAGGCUGAAUGAUUUACCAUUGUAUGUAUAUAUCAUGUUUUGCAUAUCCAUUCAUCUGUUGUUGGACACUUCAAUUGCUUCUACGUUUUAGCUAUUGCCAAUAAUGCUGCUGCAAACAUGGAUGUGCAAAUAUUUUUUCAAGACUCUGCUUUCAAUUCUUUUGCUGUCUUGAGAUGUGGGGCUGCUGAAUCGUAAGGCAAUACCAUUUUGAUGUUUUGAGGAACUACCAUACUCUUUUCCACAGCAAACAUAGGGUUUGGCAUUCCCUCCAAUAUUGCAAAACGAAUCGCCACGUCCUUGCCUGUGGAUUUUAUUCACAAGUCCUGUGGCUCUCUCUACAUAACGGCCACCAUGUGUUAUUUCCUGUUUAUAUAUAUGAAAUCAAAGGUGCAGGAAAUAAUGAACUAAAUUGGAAGGAUAAACAUGUAGAAAAAUAGAGGUAAAUACUGACUACAUAAAACCAUAAGAAUAAGAAUUUUGGAUGAUCUAUAUAUUAUAUAUCUAUUUAUCUAACAUCUGUCUGUUCCUCCAUCUGUAAUUAAAAUAUAUUACAGUUAGAGAACAGAGAAAAAAGUAAGAAUACAUGAAUUUAAAUUUUAAUUCUUCUUAGAUUGUCUCACAGCAUCAUUAUAUGACAGAAAAUUUAUAGGUCAGUAUCUGUUAACUGUAAAUGUAACAUUCUUAAAGAAUUCAAAUACAUUGAAUUACAGCAUGAAUAAAAUAUUACAAUCCAUUCAAGUUUAUUUUAUUCCAGGAACACAAAAAUACAAAUUUCAUUUGCAAUUCAAGAAAAACAGAAAUCGAUACAUAUGAUUGAUGUAUAUACACAUUUAAUGUAUUUUUAAAUAUACAUUUUUAAAAAAUAGAAAUUUAACUAGGACAACUACUUAAAAUAUCACUGAAAAUAGUGUUAGUAGAUAAUACCUUCCUAAUAACUCUGGUAUUACAUAAGAAAACAAAAUUAAAAUUUCAGAUAAGCUUAGAAACUAAAAAUUUUAGAAAUAUUAUUCUGUUCUCCAUAUGUUCAUAUUUAAUAUUAUUUCUUGUUUUCAUUCUUCUUCAGUGUUCCUCUACUAAAAUAUAACAUACAACAGUUACUUUUGAUUUCUGUUCUUAUUACUCAAAAUUAGCUUGGUGAUGGCAGUGUUAUAAAAUCCUCAAAAUGCAGCACCCUCACCCAGAGGAAUUUGUAGAUUCUGG
rnacentral:lncRNA from 10 species